rnacentral:tRNA from 4 species
GUUAAUGUAGCUUAAUACUCAAAGCAAGACACUGAAAAUGUCUAGACGGGUAAUCACUGCCCCAUAAACA